rnacentral:tRNA from 1 species
GGGUCAUUAGCUCAGUUGGUAGAGCACUAGACUUUUAAUCUAGUUGUCCCGGGUUCGACCCCCGGAUGGCUCACUA